AUGACAGUCAUUCAGGCAGUAAUGACGAAUCUCUUCGUCCGCAUGGAUCGGAAGAGAGUCAUAAUGUUCAUUUCUGUAGUCAUCUGGACAUUAUUAUAUAGAAACACAGGCCAAAUAAUAUUAAACACAUGUUAAAACUCUGCAGGUAACUUUAUCCCAAAAUAAGGUUUGCAACACUGGACCAGCUCUUUAGCCUGUUAAUGAUAUUUUGGGGUCCAUGAGAAAUUACCCGACCAGUGUCCAUGUGCUUUGUGGAUUUGGAGAAGUUCUAUGGCCUGUUGAUACAGCUUUUUCAGUUCCUGUAGAAAUAAUUUAGUUUGCACUGCUGAGUCAGACUUGUGCCCGUGG
rnacentral:lncRNA from 1 species